rnacentral:lncRNA from 1 species
AGAGCGGCAGCUGGGAGGGCCUGGACCCACAGAGCUGAGGACCUGGGUCCCCAGGGCCAAGCCAGACAGGCACCAACAAGGACACUGCCCACUCCAUAAAAUCAAAAGAAACCGAGGCCUGAUGAUGAGGGGCUGAGGGCCGCCCCGCAAUGAACAGCCAUGAUCCCUUGCCCGGUUUCCAGACCACAGCGAGGCUGCAGGUCCGGGUGAGCGAAGGAGGGAGCAGGUGCCCAGGAGUAACAGCCGUGCGACCCCGGACCAAGAAGAUGUGGUGGGAAUGAUGGCACCUGCAUCACACAGCGGCUGUGAGAACCACGAAGACGACCCAUGUUUCACAGCACCGCCUCCUUCCUCGCUCCGCUGACUGCGCAGCCCAUGCUCCGAGAAAGGGGAGUAGUCUAAAGAGAAUGCCCCACACCCCGCCCCCACCAGGCUCUGCCUCCCUCCCGCGGGGCACCAGCCGGGGCCCUCUCGUCUCUCCAGCUGCAUCACUCCGACAAUUCUGCCCCCUCCCACGUGAUGGGGUUUUCCCUCCACACAGAAUCUUUCCCUUCAAGAGAGAAACAUGGUGCCAUUUCUCUCAUUUAAAAAAAACAAGGCCCCCUAUUCUGCACUGUGCCCUCAGCUCCUGCCCUGGGCUCACUCCCGGGAAGGCUGCCAUAUGCCCUGUCUCCACCCCCUCAGGAGGCCCCUGCAAUCUGGCUCUGGUCCUCAGUGGCCACCACUGACCCCCACGAUGCAAAGCCCCUGGUCCCUCCCUAACCCUCCUCCCAUGGCCACUUGGCUGCCACCCCAUAGGCCCCGACAUACGUGUCCCCUCAGCUCCUCUGACACCCCCCCACCUCUGUCACUCCUCAGUCUCCAGGGCUCAGGUGGGGCCUCUUUUCCUCCCCAUCUCCACCUCCCCUCCAGGUGACCUCAGCCAGGCGCGUGGCAUUAGAUACCCCACGCUUAUACUUCCAGUCCCAACUCUGCCACUGAGCUCCAGCCUGUAACUCCGGUCACCCCCCGCCCCCAACGCCCCAUCUGGAUGUUGGACAGGUUGACACAUCCCAGGGCAACUCCUGAUUACUCCCAAGUCUGCUCCAACCCUGGUCUUCUGCAUCUCAGAAAGUGACACCACUGUUCCUCUAAAGCUCAAACCAGAUACCUGGAUUCCUCCCCAUCCCUCAGCCCACAUCCCAGUGACGAUCCCUUCCCU